rnacentral:misc_RNA from 1 species
UCCGGCUUGUCACCGGCGGUCUCGUCAGAGUGCCCGGCAUUACCCGAUGGCAACAGACGACAAGGGUUGCGCUCGUUGCGGGACUUAACCCAACAUCUCACGACACGAGCUGACGACAGCCAUGCAGCACCUGUGUUCCGGUCCCUUGCGGGAAGGAAUCCAUCUCUGGAAACCGUCCGGACAUGUCAAGCGUAGGUAAGGUUCUUCGCGUUGCUUCGAAUUAAACAACAUGCUCCACCGCUUGUGCGGGUCCCCGUCAAUUCCUUUGAGUUUUAACCUUGCGGCCGUACUCCCCAGGCGGUGUGCUUAAUGAUUUCUCUCCGCCGCCGAAGCCCUAAGGACUCCAACAGCUAGCACACAUGGUUUAUGGCGUGGACUAC